rnacentral:rRNA from 1 species
GACGAACGCUGGCGGCGUGCCUAAUACAUGCAAGUCGAACGAGUGGCGGACGGGUGAGUAAUGUAUGGGGAUCUGCCCGAUAGAGGGGGAUAACUACUGGAAACGGUGGCUAAUACCGCAUACUAUCGGAUGAACCCAUAUGGGAUUAGCUAGUAGGUGGGGGAAAGGCUCACCUAGGCGACGAUCGCUAGCUGGUCUGAGAGGAAUGUCAGCCACACGGGGACGGAGACACGGCCCAGACUCGUACGGGAGGCAGAAGUGGGGAAUAUUGCACAAUGGGCGAAAGCGUGAUGCAGCCAGGCCGCGUGUAUGAAGAAGGCCUUAGGGUUGUAAAGUACUUUCAGCGGGGAGGCGUGACCCGAAGAAGAAGCACCGGCUAACUCCGUGCCAGCAGCAGCGGUAAUAC